rnacentral:rRNA from 1 species
UACGUAGGGUGCAGGCGUUAAUCGGAAUUACUGGGCGUAAAGCGUGCGCAGGCGGCUUCCUAAGUCAGAUGUGAAAUCCCUCAGCUUAACUGGGGAACUGCGUCUGAUACUGGAUGGCUUGGAUUUGGGAGAGGGAUGCGGAAUUCCAGGUGUAGCGGUGAAAUGCGUAGAUAUCUGGAGGAACACCGGUGGCGAAGGCGGCAUCCUGGACUAACAUUGACGCUGAGGAGCGAAAGCCAGGGGAGCAAACGGG